rnacentral:rRNA from 1 species
UAGGGAAUCUUCCACAAUGGACGCAAGUCUGAUGGAGCAACGCCGCGUGAGUGAAGAAGGUCUUCGGAUCGUAAAGCUCUGUUGUUGGUGAAGAAGGAUAGAGGCAGUAACUGGUCUUUAUUUGACGGUAAUCAACCAGAAAGUCACGGCUAACUACGUGCCAGCAGCCGCGGUAAUACGUAGGUGGCAAGCGUUGUCCGGAUUUAUUGGGCGUAAAGCGAGCGCAGGCGGAAUGAUAAGUCUGAUGUGAAAGCCCACGGCUCAACCGUGGAACUGCAUCGGAAACUGUCAUUCUUGAGUGCAGAAGAGGAGAGUGGAACUCCAUGUGUAGCGGUGGAAUGCGUAGAUAUAUGGAAGAACACCAGUGGCGAAGGCGGCUCUCUGGUCUGCAACUGACGCUGAGGCUCGAAAGCAUGGGUAGCGAACAGGAUUAGAUACCCUGGUAGUCCAUGCCGUAAACGAUGAGCGCUAGGUGUUGGGGACUUUCCGGUUCUCAGUGCCGCAGCAAAC